GAUACAGUUACAGAUGCAGACAUACAGAUUCAGAGUCAGACAUACAGCCAUACAGCCACGAUCGUGACGGAGGCAAAGGCAAAGGCAAAGACGAAGACGAUGCCGGGUCGGGUCGGGGUGGCGGUGGCCCGGACGGCAACUACACAACGGAGCCGGCCGACAUUCAGAGCAGCGGAAUAUAACGAGAAACGACCAAAAACCAAUAGCUAUAAAACGCAAAGAUACUGAGAUGCUUACACUCUGCACAAUGGCCCCAGAUACAGAUACAUGCAGCAGAAAAAGAAACUUGGCACGGUCAAUGAGGGAAUGA